AUGAAAUUCGGAUGUACUCACGUGCAACAUUUUUGUUUCUUUGGUUGUCAGAUGGAACCGACAAAGAACGGGAAGGGCAAGAAGGACACAGAAGAGCAUAAGAAUGAAACAGAAGAGAAGCUAGUUGUGGACAUUGCGGACAAUGAUUAUAUAGAUGCAAUUGAAGAAACAAAAUCCAUUUCCACCGGUACCCUUGUGACUGAGAGUGAUUCUGAGAGUGACGAUUCCGAGAGUGACGCACCUCAACGAGCGCCAAGCAACAGAACCCGAGGAGGCAAUAGAACCCGAGGAGGAGGAGGGCGAGGGGGCAACAGAACCCGGGGAGGAGGAGGACGACGAGGGGGUAACAAAAUCCGAGGAGGAAGAAGAGGGGGUAGGGGACGCACUAGUGGUUAG
rnacentral:rRNA from 1 species